GAUUAACGCUGGCGGCGUGCUUAACACAUGCAAGUCGAGCGAGUGAGUUCUUCGGAACGAUCUAGCGGCGGACGGGUGAGUAACACGUGGGCAACCUGCCUCAUAGAGGGGAAUAGCCUCCCGAAAGGGAGAUUAAUACCGCAUAAAAUUAUCGAGUGGCAUCACAUGAUAAUCAAAGGAGUAAUCCGCUAUGAGAUGGGCCCGCGGCGCAGUAGCUAGUUGGUGAGGUAACGGCUCACCAAGGCGACGAUGCGUAGCCGACGUGAGAGGGUGAUCGGCCACAUUGGGACUGAGACACGGCCCAGACUCCUACGGGAGGCAGCAGUGGGGAAUAUUGCACAAUGGGGGAAACCCUGAUGCAGCAACGCCGCGUGAGUGAUGAAGGUCUUCGGAUUGUAAAGCUCUGUCUUUGGGGACGAUAAUGACGGUACCCAAGGAGGAAGCCACGGCUAACUACGUGCCAGCCGCCGCGGUAA
rnacentral:rRNA from 1 species